rnacentral:rRNA from 1 species
GUUAAAGUACGUAAGGGCAUACGGUGGAUGGCUUGGCAGUAGAAGCCGAUGAAAGACGUGGUAGCCUGCGAUAAGCUUCGGGGAGGCGGCAAACAGCCUUUGAUCCGGAGAUUUCUGAAUGGGGAAACCCCCUCGAUAAUGAUCGAGGACCUGCAGCUGAACACAUAGGCUGUAUGGAGGGAACCUAGGGAAGUGAAACAUCUCAGUACCUAGAGGAAAAGAAACGAAUAGUAUUCCCUCAGUAGUGGCGAGCGAAAGGGGAAAAGCCGAAACCAUUAUAAUGAACUUACACACCGAGUAGGACGCAAGUUUUACCGCGGGUGUGAGGGAGGGCUUGGGCCGCCGUUAUAAUUGGGGUUGUUGGACGGAACACGCUCGACCCAUGUAGAGCACGUGGAGUAGGUACUCAUUAGCUGAAUCCACUGGAAAGUGGAACCAAAGACGGUGAUAGUCCGGUAAGCGAAAAUAGGUAUCUCACACGGAUCCGAUAUCCAUAGUACAACGAGGAACGAGAAACCUCGUUGGAAGCAGGCACGACGAUGUGCCAAGGCUAAAUACUUCUACUGACCGAUAGUGAACAAGUACAGUGAUGGAAAGCUGAAAAGCAGCCCGGGAGGGCGAUGAAAUAGUUUCUGAAACCGUAUGCUUACAAGGAGUUGGAGCGGGUAGCAAUAUCCGUAACAGCGUUCCUAUUGAAGAAUGAGCCAACGAGUGUGCUGCAUGUCGCUCGGUUAAGUCCCUGCGGGGACGAAGCCACAGUGAAAGCGAGCCUGAAUAGGGCGUUUUGGUGGCAUGCACACGACCCGAAACCCGGCGAGCUAGCCAUGAACAGGAUGAAGCUUUAAGAAAUUAAAGUGGAGGUCCGAACCCACGAGCCGUACGACACUCGGGGAUGAUUUGUGGCUAGGGGUGAAAUUCCAAUCGAGCUGGGUGAUAGCUGGUUCUCCCUGAAAUAGAUUUUGGUCUAGCGCUAGUUCAUAGCAAGGCGGAGGUAGAGCACUGAAUGGGGACAGGGGCGCAAGCCUACUGUCGCCAACCAAACUCCGAAUGCCGCUUUGUGUUCCUAGCAGUCAGUCCUUGGGGGCUAAGCUCCAAUGGACAAGAGGGAAACAGCCCCGAUCGCAGUCUAAGGUCCCUAAAUGUAUGCUAAGUGUCAAAGGCGGUCUGGUGACUUAUAC